UUCAAUGUCGUUGCUUUCAUAAUCAACCCAGCAGUGAGGAUGAAAGAAAGAAGCAUCAUUGAAGGGUAUAACUUUUUCAAAGCUCAUUUGUUCCAGCGGUCCGUUUAUCGCCAUAGAAUUGAUAGCCACGUCUAGUAAAAUCCAUAUGUCGCGUUUAUGCAAUUCUUGUAUUAGCUCCAUAAAUUCUUCCUUUGUUCCAAAGUGGUGAUUAAGCUCAUAGAGGUUGGUUGUCCAAUAUCCGUGAUAGGACGAACCGUCAAUAUCAUUUCCUUCAACAUUUUCAAAGAUUGGUGAGAUCCAUAUCUAUCAUUAUGUUAAUCAAGUAUUUGGGUAAAAAUACAUACUGCGUCAAAUCCCAUGCCUUGGAUGUAAUCUAGAUGAUUUCGAAUUCCAUUCCAAGUUCCCCCGCAGUACAUAAAUCGAACGGGAUCGCAUGGAAUUCUCUCUGUUGCACCUUCUUCUAAAGAAAAUCUGUCGGUGAUUAUUUGAUAAAUUGAUCUGCGUUUCCACUCUUCAGCAGAAUGUCCUGCAUAUGCUGGAAUAAAUGCAAAAAGCAGCAUCCAACCAAUUCUGAGACAUAUAUUUCUACGGUAAUUCAUUAUUAAUCAAUUUUUUUACCUUUUGGUUUCUGAUUGAAUUAUGGUGUUGUUUGUAACAAUUUUGCUUCUUAAAUUUCAGAGGAGUUUGUGUGAAUGCAUGUAAACAAAUACGUGUUUACUUUUUAUUUGCGCAUAGUCAACAACGAUUGUUAUCAAACAAUUAGCUAUUUGCUACUUUAAAUUGCGCACACAUCACUACUGUUGUUUUAGUAAACAAACAAUAUAGUUUGAUUAUAUUCAUAUUCAACAUUUUGUUUUGCGCAACACAUGGACAUACUGAAAUCAGUAUAAGAUAAAUAACUGAAGAACCAGUAUUU